AUUGAACGCUGGCGGCAGGCCUAACACAUGCAAGUCGAACGAGUGGCGGACGGGUGAGUAAUGUCUGGGAAACUGCCUGAUGGAGGGGGAUAACUACUGGAACGGGUAGCAAAUCCGCAAUACAACCGGUGUUGCCCAGAUGGGAUUAGCUAGUAGGGGGGGUAAAGGCUCACCUAGGCGACGAUCCCUAGCUGGUCUGAGAGGAUGACCAGCCACACUGGAACUGAGACACGGUCCAGACUCCUACGGGAGGCAGCAGUGGGGAAUAUUGCACAAUGGGCGCAAGCCUGAUGCAGCCAUGCCGCGUGUAUGAAGAAGGCCUUCGGGUUGUAAAGUACUUUCAGCGGGGAGGCGUUACCCGCAGAAGAAGCACCGGCUAACUCCGUGCCAGCAGCCGCGGUAAUAC
rnacentral:rRNA from 1 species